rnacentral:pre_miRNA from 1 species
AUUAUACUCCCUCCGUCCGGAAAUACUUGUCGGAGAAAUGCAUAAAAAUGGAUGUAUCUAGAACUAAAAUAUGUCUAGAUACAUCCAUUCCUCCAACAAGUAUUUCCAGACGGAGGGAGUAACAU